ensembl:piRNA 21ur-3806 ncRNA
UACUUUUGCAAUUCAAAACUG